rnacentral:rRNA from 1 species
GACAAACGCUGGCGGUAUGCCUAACACAUGCAAGUCGAACGGACAGAACAGGGAAGCUUUUCGGAGUGGAACUGGAAAGUUAGUGGCGGAUGGGUGAGUAACGCGUGGACAACCUACCUUGUAAAGGGGAAUAACCUCGAGAAAUCGAAGCUAAUACCCCAUAAUAACCUUGCUUCGCAUGAAGUAAGGAGGAAAGGCGGCCUUAGCGCUGUCGAUACAAGAUGGGUCCGCGUCCGAUUAGCUAGUUGGUGAGGUAAAGGCUCACCAAGGCGACGAUCAGUAGCCGGCCUGAGAGGGUGAGCGGCCACAUUGGGACUGAGACACGGCCCAAACUCCUACGGGAGGCAGCAGUGGGGAAUCUUCCGCAAUGGGCGAAAGCCUGACGGAGCAAUGCCGCGUGAGUGAAGAAGGCCUUCGGGUUGUAAAACUCUGUCCUUAUCGAAGAGAGAGUGUUGUAGUAACUGACAAUACUAGGACGGUAGAUGAGGAGGAAGCCCCGGCUAACUAUGUG